rnacentral:rRNA from 1 species
CCUACGGGAGGCUGCAGUGAGGAAUAUUGGUCAAUGGACGAGAGUCUGAACCAGCCAAGUAACGUGAAGGAUGACUGCCCUAUGGGUUGUAAACUUCUUUUAUAUGGGAAUAAAAUGUUCCACGUGUGGGAUUUUGUAUGUACCAUAUGAAUAAGGAUCGGCUAACUCCGUGCCAGCAGCCGCGGUAAUACGGAGGAUCCGAGCGUUAUCCGGAUUUAUUGGGUUUAAAGGGAGCGUAGGUGGAUUGUUAAGUCAGUUGUGAAAGUUUGCGGCUCAACCGUAAAAUUGCAGUUGAAACUGGCAGUCUUGAGUACAGUAGAGGUGGGCGGAAUUCGUGGUGUAGCGGUGAAAUGCUUAGAUAUCACGAAGAACUCCGAUUGUGAAGGCAGUUCACUGGACUGCAACUGACACUGAGGCUCGAAAGUGUGGGUAUCAAACAGGAUUAGAUACCCGGGUAGUC